AGAGUUUGAUCCUGGCUCAGGAUGAACGCUGGCGGCGUGGAUAAGGCAUGCAAGUCGAGAGGGUUUAGACCCUCGGCAGACGAGGUAGUAACACGUAGGUACGCACCCCAAAGUCGGGCAUAACUAGCCGAAAGGUUAGAUAAUUCUCGAUAGUCUCUUCGGAGUAAAGAUUUAUCGCUUUGGGAGCGGCCUGCGGAGUAUCAGCUAGUUGGUAGGGUAAAAGCCUACCAAGGCUAUGACGCUUAGGGGAGGUGAGAGCCUGACCCCCACCGAUGGAACUGAGACACGGUCCAUACACCUACGGGUGGCCGCAGUCGAGAAUCUUCCGCAAUGGACGCAAGUCUGACGGAGCGACGCCGCGUGGUUGAUGAAGUCCUUCGGGGUGUAAAAACCUUUUAUCAGGGAGAAAUUUAUUGAUAGUACCUGAUGAAUAAGAGGUUGCUAAACUCGUGCCAGCAGCAGCGGUAAUACGAGUGCCUCAAGCGUUAUCCGGAAUUAUUGGGCGUAAAGGGUGUGUAGGUGGUCUUGUUAGUCUUCUGUCAAAUUCUUCGGCUUAACCGGGGUUACGCAGAGGAAACGGCAAGACUUGAGGAUGCGAGAGGUAUGCGGAACUCAUAGUGUAGGGGUGAAAUCCGUUGAUAUUAUGGGGAACACCAAAAGCGAAGGCAGCAUACUGGCGCAUUCCUGACACUGAAACACGAAAGCGUGGGUAGCGAAUGGGAUUAGAUACCCCAGUAGUCCACGCCCUAAACGAUCUUCUCUAGCUAUUCGGAGUAUCGACCCUCUGAGUGGCGUAGCUAACGCGUUAAGAGAAGCGCCUGGGUAGUACGGCCGCAAGGCUAAAACUCAAAGGAAUAGACGGGGACUUGCACAAGCAGUGGAUCAUGUGGUUUAAUUCGUCGACAAACGAAGAACCUUACCAAGAUUAGAAAUCUAACUGAAGACUAGCAGAAACGUUAGUCGUCUCACAAGGACAGUUAGACAGGUGCUGCAUGGCCGUCGUCAGUUCGUGGUUUGAAUUGUUCCCUUCAGUGGGGUAACGAACGCAACCCUCGUUGCCUGUUAUAUAUGUCAGGCGAGACUGCCCAGCCUUUUGCUCGAAAUUUUCUCCGAAAAUUCCUAUUUGAAACAAUAAAUAAGAAACUUCGGCAGUUAUAUUUUUAGUAGGAGGCUGGGAGGAAGGCGAGGAUGACGCCAGGUCAGCAUGGCCCUCUGAUAUCUUGGGCUACACACGUGAUACAAUCGCAUCUACAACGCGUUGUGACGAGGAAACUCUGAACUAAUCGUUAGAAAGGAUGCGCCAGUUCGGAUAGGGGUCUGCAACUCGACCUCUUGAAGCCGGAAUUGCUAGUAAUCGCAGGUCAGCACACUGCGGUGAAUACGUUCUCAAGUCUUGUACACACCGCCCGU
rnacentral:rRNA from 1 species